rnacentral:rRNA from 2 species
UACGGAGGGUGCAAGCGUUAAUCGGAAUUACUGGGCGUAAAGCGCGCGUAGGCGGUUUGUUAAGUGAGAUGUGAAAGCCCAGGGCUCAACCUUGGAACUGCAUCUCAUACUGGCAGGCUAGAGUACGGUAGAGGGGGGUAGAAUUCCACGUGUAGCGGUGAAAUGCGUAGAGAUGUGGAGGAAUACCAGUGGCGAAGGCGGCCCCCUGGAUCGAUACUGACGCUGAGGUGCGAAAGCGUGGGGAGCAAACAGG